rnacentral:rRNA from 1 species
UCGUCUCAGUUCAGAUUGCAGGCUGCAACUCGCCUGCAUGAAGUCGGAAUUGCUAGUAAUCGCAGAUCAGCAUGCUGCGGUGAAUACGUUCCCGGGCCUUGUACACACCGCCCGUCACACCAUGGGAGUCGGUAACACCCGAAGUCGGUAGCCUAACCGUAAGGAGGGCGCCGCCGAAGGUGGGAUUGAUGACUGGGGUGAAGUCGUAACAAGGUAUC